GAGCCACAGUGAGGAGAGUCCAAAUGCUACCACCACACAACACAGCAGCACGUUAUCCACGCAGCAAAAUACCCUUUCGUCAUCCACAUCUUCUGGGCGCACUUCGACAUCCACUCUUUUGCACACAAGCGUGGACAGUGAGGCGAACCUCCAUUCUUCCUCCAGCACUUUCUCUACCGCGUCCAGCACGGUUUCUGCGCCUCCCCCGG